UCAACCCUCAAGUUUAGCUUGCUGUUGGAUGAAAUUUUCCAGAAGUGAUAAUUCAUCCCAAAGACAAUGGCGGUGUCUUUUGACCCUUGAUGCAACGAGCUUUUCCAAAGCACGCAUUUAAAGUGGUUAAUUGAUUCUUGACCUUCUUAAUUACUUUUUUAA
rnacentral:misc_RNA from 1 species